rnacentral:misc_RNA from 1 species
AUAAUAAGUAGUUUUAUGGCACUUUUUAAAUCCAUAUCCACCUUGUGUAGCAAUGUCGGUCGAUCUUCUUCAUGGAGAUCGACCAAACAUCAACCUUUAUCUUUUACUCUUUGUCUGAAAAUAUUAUGAAUAAACAAUUCAAAAUA